CAGCCGUCGCGGUAAUACCGGCGGCCCGAGUGGCGGUCACUAUUAUUGGGCUUAAAGCGUCCGUAGCCGGGUUGGGAAGUCCUCCGGGAAAUCUGGCCGCUUAACGGUCAGAAUGCCGGAGGAUACUCCCAGCCUAGGGAGCGGGAGAGGCCGAGGGGAUUCCCGGAGUAGGGGGGAAAUCCUAUAAUCCCGGGAGGACCACCUGUGGCGAAGGCGCUCGGCUGGAACGCGUCCGACGGUGAGGGACGAAGGCCAGGGGAGCAAACCGGAUUAGAUACCCGGGUAGUCCUGGCUGUAAACGAUGCGGACUUUGUGUCGGACAAGCUAUGAGCUUGUCCGGUGCCGGAGGGAAACCGUUAAGUCCGCCGCCUGGGGAGUACGGCCGCAAGGCUGAAACUUAAAGGAAUUGGCGGG
rnacentral:rRNA from 1 species